GACGAACGCUGGCGGCGUGCUUAACACAUGCAAGUCGAACGGAAAGGCCCUGCUUUUGUGGGGUGCUCGAGUGGCGAACGGGUGAGUAACACGUGGGUAACCUGCCCUUGACUUUGGGAUAACUUCAGGAAACUGGGGCUAAUACCGGAUAGGAGCUCCUGCUGCAUGGUGGGGGUUGGAAAGUUUCGGCGGUUGGGGAUGGACUCGCGGCUUAUCAGCUUGUUGGUGGGGUAGUGGCUUACCAAGGCUUUGACGGGUAGCCGGCCUGAGAGGGUGACCGGCCACAUUGGGACUGAGAUACGGCCCAGACUCCUACGGGAGGCAGCAGUGGGGAAUAUUGCACAAUGGGCGGAAGCCUGAUGCAGCAACGCCGCGUGCGGGAUGACGGCCUUCGGGUUGUAAACCGCUUUCGCCUGUGACGAAGCGUGAGUGACGGGAAUGGGUAAAGAAACACCGGCUAACUACGU
rnacentral:rRNA from 1 species